rnacentral:misc_RNA from 1 species
GAUGAAGAACGCAGCGAAAUGCGAUAAGUAAUGUGAAUUGCAGAAUUCAGUGAAUCAUCGAAUCUUUGAACGCACAUUGCGCCCCAUGGUAUUCCGAGGGGCAUGCCUGUUCGAGCGUCAUUAUAACCCCUCAAGCUCAGCUUGGUGUUGGGGCCUGCUGCACUGGCAGCCCUUAAAAUCAGUGGCGGCGCCAUCUGGCUCUAAGCGUAGUAAUUCUUCUCGCUAUGGAGUCCUGGUGGAUGCUUGCCAUCAACCCCCAAUUUUUCUAUGGUUGACCUCGGAUCAGGUAGGGAUACCCGCUGAACUUAAGCAUAUCAAUAAGCGGAGGA